AGCCGCGGUAAUUCCAGCUCCAUUGGCGUAUAUUAAAGUUGUUGCGGUUAAAAAGCUCGUAGUUGGAUCUGUGUAUCGGACGGUCGGUUCGCCGCUCGGGGUGUUAAACUGACCGGUCCGGGCGUCCUGCCGGUCGGGCCCGGUUCGCGCCGCGGCCAGUAACUCCCUCCGCGCUGCUCUUAACCGAGUGGUUCGGUGGGCCGGCACGUUUACUUUGAACAAAUUUGAGUGCUCAAAGCAGGCCUUAUGUUGCCUGAAAACUGUGUGCAUGGAAUAAUGGAAUAGGGCCUCGGUUCUAUUUUGUUGGCUUUUCUGAACCCGAGGUAAUGAUUAAUAGGGACAGACGGGGGCAUUCGUAUUGCGACGUUAGAGGUGAAAUUCUUGGAUCGUCGCAAGACGGACCGAUGCGAAAGCGUUUGCCAAGAAUGUUUUCGCUAAUCAAGAACGAAAGUUAGAGGUUCGAAGGCGAUCAGAUACCGCCCUAGUUCUAACCAUAAACGAUGCCAGCCAGCGAUGUGCCGAAGUUCCUCCGAUGACUCGACGCGCAGCUUCCGGGAAACCAAAGCUUUUGGGUUCCGGGGGAA
rnacentral:rRNA from 1 species